rnacentral:rRNA from 1 species
GGACAGUGUCUGGUGGGUAGUUUGACUGGGGCGGUCUCCUCCUAAAGAGUAACGGAGGAGCACGAAGGUUGGCUAAUCCUGGUCGGACAUCAGGAGGUUAGUGCAAUGGCAUAAGCCAGCUUGACUGCGAGCGUGACGGCGCGAGCAGGUGCGAAAGCAGGUCAUAGUGAUCCGGUGGUUCUGAAUGGAAGGGCCAUCGCUCAACGGAUAAAAGGUACUCCGGGGAUAACAGGCUGAUACCGCCCAAGAGUUCAUAUCGACGGCGGUGUUUGGCACCUCGAUGUCGGCUCAUCACAUCCUGGGGCUGAAGUAGGUCCCAAGGGUAUGGCUGUUCGCCAUUUAAAGUGGUACGCGAGCUGGGUUUAGAACGUCGUGAGACAGUUCGGUCCCUAUCUGCCGUGGGCGCUGGAGAACUGAGGGGGGCUGCUCCUAGUACGAGAGGACCGGAGUGGACGCAUCACUGGUGUUCGGGUUGUCAUGCCAAUGGCACUGCCCGGUAGCUAAAUGCGGAAGAGAUAAGUGCUGAAAGCAUCUAAGCACGAAACUUGCCCCGAGAUGAGUUCUCCCUGACUCCUUGAGAGUCCUGAAGGAACGUUGAAGACGACGACGUUGAUAGGCCGGGUGUGUAAGCGCAGCGAUGCGUUGAGCUAACCGGUACUAAUGAACCGUGAG